AUGAAACCUUUGUUUAGACCUCCCAACACCAAUGUUCAGACAGUUUCGGAUCUCAUUGACACCGAAAACUGGUCAUGGAAGCAGGAUCUUUUAAGGACAACUUUUAUCGCCCCAGAUGUUGAUGCUAUUCUCAAUAUACCAAUCAGGAGGGGAGGAGGACAGGAUUUUUAUUCUUGGGCCUUUGAACGAUCAGGCAACUACACUGUUAAAUCGACGUAACGUGCUCUAGUGACUCAAAACGAGCAUCUAGCUCUAGAAGAAGGGACGACUACCGGUGCUUCAACGGAUGAUAAACAGAUGUGGACAACCCUAUGGAAACUCAAAGUGAUCCCAAAGGUACGAGUGUUUUGGUGGAGGGUAUUGCGGGGGAUUCUACCUGAUGAAUGUACCCUCAAGCACUGUCACAUCUCAGUUCUAGACACUUGUAAAGUGUGCAUGGAAAGAGAGGAGGAUCUCAUGCAUGCGCUAAUACAAUGCUCCCAUGCACGACAUUUCUGGAGCGAAGCUAGUGCUUGGUUUGAUCUCAGACUCCCUCGACUGCACCCACGCUCGUGGGCCAGAGAUAUACUAUGUGGCGAUCGGAUCAGGGAUGUAGAUCGCACAAAAAUCAUCACCAUCAUGUGGACAAUCUGGCAUUCCCGCAACCGGAUCAAACAUGGGGAAGAGGGGAGAGACCCAACAGUCGCGAUUAGAUCUCCCCGGAGGCCCUAG
rnacentral:rRNA from 1 species